GAUGAACGCUAGCGGCAGGCUUAAUACAUGCAAGUCGUGGGGCAGCAUGAGUAGCAAUACUUGAUGGCGACCGGCAAACGGGUGCGGAACACGUACACAACCUUCCUUCAAGCGGGGAAUAGCCCAGAGAAAUUUGGAUUAAUACCCCCAUAAAAAUAUGAAAAUGGCAUCACUUAUAUAUUAAAGCUUCGGCACUUGAUGAUGGGUGUGCGGCUGAUUAGAUAGUUGGCGAGGUAACGGCUCACCAAAGUCUACGAUCAGUAGCUGAAUGUGAGAGCAUGAUCAGCACACGGGCACUGAGACACGGGCCCGACUCCUACGGAGGCAGCAGUAA
rnacentral:rRNA from 1 species